CAGUCCUGCGGCUGGAGGCAUGGCUUGCUGCUGCCUCACUCGCACCCCUCGCUCAGUCCCGCUUAUGACUUUACCCUAGCUUGGGACGGCUGGCUAUAGGACUUCCUGCUACGACUGCGACAUUCGAUUCAGCCAGGAGGCAACUCCAGAUGCAAUCAGAUACCAUGCCAUGGUGAAGAGGUAUAUUGAGAGAAUUUAUGAGAGAAUUGAAAGGUUGUCAAAUCUUUGGGGACUCUUGAUUUCUGGUCAAGAACAGCAAGAAGAUCUAUUCCUCAUGGAGUUCCCUGGAGAGCCAGGAUGACUCAUUGUUGCUGUGAAUGACUUUUGGAAAUACUCAAGACGCUUUGGAUUUGGAAGAAUAAAUUCUCACAUUCGUAUCUGAAAAGGCCCUCUGGACCGAGGAACAGGUAUUUUCACUCAGGUAAGUGAAUUUUAUAUCUGAAAAUUCAAGCACACAAUUUUGUUUUAUUUAAUAGUUUUCCUGAUAAUGAACCAUUUUGUAUUUCUAGGGGAAAAUUAUAUAGGAUUUUGAAUGUUUGAAUUAUGCUUCCUGAAUUUUCUACUUAAUUUUU